rnacentral:rRNA from 1 species
UACGUAGGGUGCAAGCGUUAAUCGGAAUUACUGGGCGUAAAGCGUGCGCAGGCGGCUUUGCAAGACAGAUGUGAAAUCCCCGGGCUUAACCUGGGAACUGCAUUUGUGACUGCAUGGCUGGAGUGCGGCAGAGGGGGAUGGAAUUCCGCGUGUAGCAGUGAAAUGCGUAGAUGUGCGGAGGAACACCGAUGGCGAAGGCAAUCCCCUGGGCCUGCACUGACGCUCAUGCACGAAAGCGUGGGGAGCAAACAGG